UCUUAACUCAGAGGGCAAGCUAUUCCUUGAUCUCUGAUUGGUCAGUUUUAUGUUGUAUGAUUUCUUCUUUACUAACAUCAGCACAUUUUAGUCAGUCUACCACAUACAGCCGCACGAGAAGCAUCUUACAUAUGACGUACGUGAUAUUUUUGACAGACGUCUGAUUUCUUCUCUUUGGUCUACAACUUCACUCUGUCUAAGAUGGACAUGCUGUUUCACUAAGGUGGACAAUGUAAUAUCACCUGAGUACCAUAUAUUUGGGUGAAAACAAAACAAACUAUAUAAUUGAGAAAUAAAGUAGUGGCACAAGUCACAACUCACACCCCAGCAGGCGUUGGUCUUCAU